rnacentral:rRNA from 1 species
GGGGGGAGCAAGCGUUGUUCGGAUUUACUGGGCGUAAAGGGCGCGUAGGCGGCACCGUAAGUCGACUGUGAAAUCUCCGGGCUUAACCCGGAAAGGUCAGCCGAUACUGCGGGGCUAGAGUGCAGAAGGGGCAACUGGAAUUCUCGGUGUAGCGGUGAAAUGCGUAGAUAUCGAGAGGAACACCUGCGGCGAAGGCGGGUUGCUGGGCUGACACUGACGCUGAUGCGCGAAAGCUAGGGGAGCGAACGGGAUUAGAUACCCCGGUAGUCCUAGCCUUAAACGAUGAAUGCUUGGUGUCUGGGGUUUUAUAGUCCCCGGGUGCCGUCGCUAACGCUUUAAGCAUUCCGCCUGGGGAGUACGGUCGCAAGACUG